UACGUAGGGUGCAAGCGUUAAUCGGAAUACUGGGCGUAAAGCGUGCGCAGGCGGUUAUGUAAGACAGUUGUGAAAUCCCCGGGCUCAACCUGGGAACUGCAUCUGUGACUGCAUAGCUAGAGUACGGUAGAGGGGGAUGGAAUUCCGCGUGUAGCAGUGAAAUGCGUAGAUAUGCGGAGGAACACCGAUGGCGAAGGCAAUCCCCUGGACCUGUACUGACGCUCAUGCACGAAAGGCGUGGGGAGCAAACGAGG
rnacentral:rRNA from 1 species